GGGGUUGUGGCUCAGUGGUAGAGUGCUUGCCUCGCAUGUGUGGGACCCUGGGUUCGAUCCUCAGCAACACAU
rfam:Ictidomys tridecemlineatus contig079781, whole genome shotgun sequence.